rnacentral:rRNA from 1 species
CAAUAGCGUAUAUUAAAGUUGUUGCAGUUAAAAAGCUCGUAGUUGGAUUUCUGGCAGAGUGUUCUCCGGCCAGCAGUUCGUUUGGUCCGGAGCGCUCUACCAUCCUUCUGUUAACCCUUGUGGUAUUCAUUUACUACUUUGGAGCUCAGAUAUUUUACCUUUGAGAAAAUUAAGAGUGUUUCUAGGCAGGCUUUCGCCGGAAUACAUUAGCAUGGAAUAAUGGAAAAGGACUUCAACCUCUUCUGUUGGUUCUGGGUAGGCGUGUAGUAAUGAUUAAUAAGGGAGUAGUUGGGGGCGGAUUAGUACUUCACUGUCAGAGGUGAAAUUCUCCGAUUUGUGAAAGACU